UACGUAGGGGGCAAGCGUUGUCCGGAUUUAUUGGGCGUAAAGAGCGUGUAGGCGGUCUGGUAGGUCCGUUGUGAAAACUCGAGGCUCAACCUCGAGACGCCGAUGGAAACCAUCAGACUAGAGUCCGGAAGAGGAGAGUGGAAUUCCUAGUGUAGCGGUGAAAUGCGCAGAUAUCAGGAAGAACACCCGUGGCUAAGGCGGCUCUCUAGUACGGUACUGACGCUGAGACGCGAAAGCGUGGGGAGCGAACAGG
rnacentral:rRNA from 1 species